rnacentral:rRNA from 1 species
GAUGAACGCUGGCGGCGUGCUUAACACAUGCAAGUCGAACGGGAUCCGGGCAGCUUGCUGCCUGGUGAGAGUGGCGAACGGGUGAGUAAUGCGUGACCAACCUGCCCCAUGCUUCGGAAUAGCUCCUGGAAACGGGUGGUAAUGCCGGAUGCUCCGCACCGUCGCAUGAUGGUGUGGGAAAGGGUUUACCGGCAUGGGAUGGGGUCGCGUCCUAUCAGCUUGUUGGCGGGGUGAUGGCCUGCCAAGGCUUCGACGGGUAGCCGGCCUGAGAGGGCGACCGGCCACAUUGGGACUGAGAUACGGCCCAGACUCCUACGGGAGGCAGCAGUGGGGAAUAUUGCACAAUGGGCGAAAGCCUGAUGCAGCGACGCCGCGUGCGGGAUGACGGCCUUCGGGUUGUAAACCGCUUUUGAUUGGGAGCAAGCGAGAGUGAGUGUACCUUUCGAAUAAGCACCGGCUAACUACGUGCCAGCAGCCGCGGUAAUACGUAGGGUGCAAGCGUUAUCCGGAUUUAUUGGGCGUAAAGAGCUCGUAGGCGGUUCGUCGCGUCUGGUGUGAAAGUCCAUCGCUUAACGGUGGAUCGGCGCCGGGUACGGGCGGACUGGAGUGCGGUAGGGGAGACUGGAAUUCCCGGUGUAACGGUGGAAUGUGUAGAUAUCGGGAAGAACACCGAUGGCGAAGGCAGGUCUCUGGGCCGUCACUGACGCUGAGGAGCGAAAGCGUGGGGAGCGAACAGGAUUAGAUACCCUGGUAGUCCACGCCGUAAACGGUGGAUGCUGGAUGUGGGGCCCGUUCCACGGGUUCCGUGUCGGAGCUAACGCGUUAAGCAUCCCGCCUGGGGGAGUACGGCCGCAAGGCU